rnacentral:pre_miRNA from 1 species
CUUGUACUCCCUUCAUCCAAAAAUACUUGUCAUCGAAAUGGAUGUAUCUACAUGUAUUUUAGUUCUAGACACAUCCAUUUUGAUGACAAGUAAUUCCGGACGGAGGGAGUACUUG